rnacentral:rRNA from 1 species
UACAGAGGGGGCAAGCGUUAUUCGGAAUUAUUGGGCGUAAAGGGCGCGUAGGCGGCUUGGCAAGUGGAAGGUGAAAUCCCUCGGCUUAACCGAGGAACUGCCCUCCAAACUGCCUUACUUGAGGCCGGGAGAGGUGAGUGGAAUUCCCAGUGUAGCGGUGAAAUGCGUAGAUAUUGGGAGGAACACCAGUGGCGAAGGCGGCUCACUGGACCGGUUCUGACGCUGAGGCGCGAAAGCCAGGGGAGCAAACGGG